rnacentral:ncRNA from 1 species
UCUUAUCAAGAGAGGUGGAGGGAUGUGCCCGAUGAAGCCCGGCAACCGUCAAUAGUUUACUAUUGAAAUGGUGCCAAUUCACACAAAGCGGAUGCUUUGGGAGAUG